rnacentral:lncRNA from 1 species
CUGUUUGCUGCUUUAGGUGUCUCUUUUCCUCCCUCUCUAUCUCUACUCUCCAACAUGAAGGCGCUGAGCCCGGUGCGCGGCUGCUACGAGGCGGUGUGCUGCCUGUCGGAACGUAGCCUGGCCAUUGCGCGAGGCCGCGGUAAGAGCCCGUCGACCGAGGAGCCUCUUAGCCUCUUGGACGACAUGAACCACUGCUACUCGCGCCUGCGGGAACUGGUGCCGGGAGUCCCGCGAGGCACUCAGCUUAGCCAGGUGGAAAUCCUGCAGCGUGUCAUAGACUACAUCCUCGACCUUCAGGUGGUCCUGGCAGAGCCGGCGCCUGGACCCCCGGACGGUCCGCAUCUCCCGAUCCAGGUGCGAGAGGGAGCCAGACCAGGCUGCUCUGAGCGUGCGGGCAGGGAUGCUGCGGGUCUUCCCUAUCGCGUCCCCGAGUCCCUUGGCUAACUCGUCUCCUAACCUUCUUUCACAGACAGCUGAGCUCACUCCGGAACUUGUGAUCUCCAAGGACAAGAGGAGCUUUUGCCACUGACCCGGUCGUCCUGGCACCUCCCGGUAAGCUUUCUCCUGGCGCGGGCGAGGAGGGAGGCUUGCAUGGGAAAUCCUGCCUUUGACAGAACAUUGUAAGGCUUAGGGUUCAGUCGGUUUAGGGAAAAAGCCAAGCCACUGAAAGGCAAAAGCCUUAUCUAUAAUCAGUUAGAAUAAACGACAGAACCUAUGUCAAUAUCACGUGCAUUCCUUAGACACGCUGUCCCUUCUCAUCCCGGGUGGCCAGAGCCCAGGGCAAGUGGGCGCGCGGGUCGCACCAAAUGAGCCUUGGAGUAAAGGAAGCCCUCCCCCCUUUCCACUAGUGUUAUUUCUAAGCGGGAGGGGGAGUGGUGACUCCGCCUGUGGUCCUUUGGCGCCAACUGGGUGGAGGCAGUGUGGGGAGCGGAGUUAUCAGCUGGAGGUAGAGACCGAGUUUCCUCCCUGGCGCCGGCCAGUCUGCGGCAUCCUCCGCCUGGGCGCGCUCGGCGGAAACUGACGGCUCCCUCGCUCUUCUCUCCUCCCCCGCCCAGAACGCAGGUGCUGGCGCCCGUUCCGCUUGGGACCCUGGGACUCUGGGACCCUCUCUCCAGCCGGAAGCCUGAGGGCAUGGAUGAGCUUCGAUCUUAACCCAGCCCUCUUCACUUACCCUGAACUCAACGCCUCGAGGCUGGACCUGGAGCCCGAGAGAAGGACUGAACUUGGGUGGCCUGAAGAGCUAGCACACGCUGGUCAGCAGCUGGGCAACGUCACUCUGUCCCCACCCUGACUCAAGUCUAAAAGACUGGCUUUUCCGAGAAUGGGGUGUCGAGAGGGUGUGGGGGGAUGCGAGUGGCUGCCCUGCGCACUCUGCCAAGGCAGCAUAAGAGCUGUUCUUCUGGUUUCCUUGGAGAAAAGCUCUGCUGCCCUGAUUAUGAACUCUAUAAUAGAGUAUAUAGCUUUUGUACCUUUUUUACAGGAAGGUGACUUUCUGUAAUCAUGUGAUGUAUAUUAAACUUUUUAUAAAAGUUAACAUUUUGCAUAAUAAACCAUUUUUGAACACUUUGUGUAUGACAUCUUGCGCCACCUCCUAGGAGCUUGGGGCGGGCAGAUUUGCAUACCCUUUUAGGGACGAGAAAGUUCCCAGCUGAAGCUGAGGGCUAGGGUGGCUUGGUUAGUAGGAAGGGCUGGGGUUGGGAAUCCCCAAAAACAUUGGAGGUUGAAAGCAAGGAUCUAUGAUCCUACUCUCAAUUACAGGAGCCUCUCCUACAGCCGGCAAGUCUGAGACCGAAUCUUUUUAUUUCUUCAAUUCCUUGAAACUUGGCAGCAGCUCUUAGAUGGAUGCCGCAAAUGAUUGGGCGAACCUUCCUGGCGGCUCGGGGUCAAGUGUGGGGAUGAACUAUUUCGUAUUUAAAUAAACUGCCUCCAUUAACUUCAUGCUUUCUGGUCUGCCUUCCCCCCAGACUUCCAAACUUGGAGAAAGGAACCCUGCGGGUGAGGUGGGGGGUAUAGUGAUUUGUACUUUAAUCCCAGCACUCAUGAGGCAGAGGCACACAAUCUCUUGAGUUUGAAACCUGGAACUCACUAUAUAUAUAUUGCUAUGUAUAGUGAGUUCCAGGAUGGUCAGCUACGCGGGAAGACCCUGUAUAUAGGAAAACCAAACCCAGGGUCUUGCCUCAGGUCUGCAGCCACUUUUCAGGGUGUAGGCUUGCUGGGAAACUCAAGUUCCCUUAAUGUUUGGUAAACUUUGACCUGGGGUUUGAGAAUAAUGAGUAUAGUAUUGCGGUUGGCAGGAAAGGGACCUUAGACUGGCCAUUUCUGGGGCAGGCCUGGGAGUUGGGUAAAAGGCAAGGUGGCAACCCAUGCCCCAUCUCUCCACCCCAACAUGGUUCCUCCCCAGGUGGGCUGCAUCAGGCCCCCAUCGUCACAGGAUUCCUAUUUAUAUGAUCUCAUCUGUGUCGGCCUUGGCAUGUGCUACUUGUAUUUCAUAACAAACAUUUCAUUACCCUUUGUGCAUUAACCAUAGUGAGCUUUCUGGGGUGAAACAGGGUCGUGGCAGAAGGGGAGGAGAGGGGAGCAACCUCCUUGCCAGUUGUCCUUCCAGUCUGAUUAAUGGUUUUUAACCUGUCUGGUUUCUUCUGAUGAACCAAUGGGAGAUAUGACCAUCUUUCAGAAAUCACACAUGAAAUUUCGCAGAAUAAUGGCAGGCCCCCCACCUCUGGAGGUCCUGUUUCUACAUAAGAAAACUUUUGCCUUAAAUUUAAUACUCUAGUGACAUCCAUCUUGGACUGUGUGUUAAGGUAUGCUGUGUUCUCUGAAGAGAGCCCGUCAAACAUGACAAUCCUGCAUCGGCUGAAUACAGCAGGCUACAGGCUAUGCCUCCAGCGAGCCAGUUUCCACAUUCGUACCAGGUGACAGUUCUGAGGGGGUCUGCCUUCUGUUCACUUAGAGGUUAUGACCAAGGAGGGAUUGAAAGCUUUAGUGGAGCAAGCCGCUUCUCUCUGAGCCCAGCUGCCUCCAAGGACUGAAGAUAAUGAUGGGAAACUUCUUUGAAAUGCAUCACACACCUACGAGGCAUUAUUAAGCUAAUUCCAAGGAAAUUGCUUGUCAGGACUCCCAGGGCUGAGCAGUUCAGGUGGCCCGGACAAAAGCUUAGACCAUCUAGCCAAUCCAUUAGUCAUUAGAAACUGAAAGCACUUUAGCCCUAGGUCAGAAACCUCUGAGUUAGUCUGCUGUUGUAAUCAUUUAUGGGCGUGCCUACCAGGUGCCCCGGUCCAUUUCAUUACAUCCUAAUCUUUUUUUCUAAUCAGCAAGGUGUGUACCUUGAAUAAGUUGAUCAAGGUCACAGCAAGGAAGUGGGAGAAGGUAUUUAGGAAAGCCAGCUUCCUGUAGAAUCUAAGUCUGGGUUCUCAUUCUCUACUUUAGACAGCUUUCCCGAGUCAACGGCUUCGUGAAUGGGGCACAAAUUAGAAGCCCAGUAAGAGCUUGUUGGGGG